rnacentral:rRNA from 1 species
UUGGAGGGCAAGUCUGGUGCCAGCAGCCGCGGUAAUUCCAGCUCCAACAGCGUAUAUUAAAGUUGUUGCAGUUAAAAAGCUCGUAGUUGAAUUUCGAGACCGGUUUACUGGUCGUGCUUUUGUACGUACUGGUAUUAUUGGUUUCUCCUUUCUGACGAACUAUAAUGCCAUUAAUUUGGUGUUAUAGGGAAUCAGGACUGUUACUUUGAAAAAAUUAGAGUGUUUAAAGCAGGCUCACGCUUGAAUACAUUAGCAUGGAAUAACGGAAUAGGACGUUUGAUUCUAUUUUGUUGGUUUCUAGGAUCGACGUAAUGAUUAAUAGGGAUAGUUGGGGGCAUUAGUAUUCAAUUGUCAGAGGUGAAAUUCUUGGAUUUAUUGAAGACUAACUACUGCGAAAGCAUUUGCCAAGGAUGUCUUCAUUAAACGAGAACGAAAGUUAGGGGAUCGAAGACGAUCAGAUACCGUCGUAGUCUUAACCAUAAACUAUGCCGACUAGGGAUCGGAUGAUGUUAAUUUUUAAUGACUCAUUCGGCGCCUUACGGGAAACCAAAGUGUUUGGGUUC